rnacentral:sRNA from 1 species
AGGCCCACGCGUCCCCCCGGUCAUGAGCGCGCCAUCCACGCCCACCUUACGACUGCGCGCUUCGUUCUGUUGGCC